rnacentral:pre_miRNA from 1 species
AGCUUUUCGAAUCCGUGCUGAGAUUUCAUCAGACACUAACCCAUUAGGACUGAUCGGACUUUCAAGGUAAAUGAAGUU